AGGGCACCACCAGGAGUGGAGCCUGCGGCUUAAUUUGACUCAACACGGGAAAACUCACCCGGCCCGGACACCGUAAGGAUUGACAGACUGAGAGCUCUUUCUUAAUUCGGUGGGUGGUGGUGCAUGGCCGUUCUUAGUUGGUGGAGCGAUUUGUCUGGUUAAUUCCGAUAACGAACGAGACUCUGGCCUAUUAAAUAGGCGAUACAUAGAAAAGUGUAUCGAACUUCUUAGAGGGGACAAGGCGGCGUCUAGCCGAAUGAAAUAAAGCAAUAGCCGGGUCUGUGAUGCCCCUUACAUGUCCGGGGGCUGCCCCGCACGCUACACUGAAAGACUCAGCGUGCGUUUUACCUAGUUCGGAAGAACCGGCUAACCCAUGUAAUUUCUUUGGGCUUGGGAUAGUAAAUUGCUAUUAUUUCUCUAAAACGAGCAAUUCCCAGUAAAUGCGGGUCACAUGCUCGUGUCGAUUACGUCUCUGCACUUUGCACACGCCGCCCGUCGCUACUACGGAUUGAAUGACUU
rnacentral:rRNA from 1 species